UACGGAGGGUGCAAGCGUUAUCCGGAUUCACUGGGCUUAAAGGGUGCGUAGGCGGGCAUUUAAGUCAGUGGUGAAAUACCUGAGCUUAACUUGGGAACUGCCAUUGAUACUGGCGAUCUCGAGUUCGGGAGAGGUGAGUGGAACUGCGAGUGUAGAGGUGAAAUUCGUAGAUAUUCGCAAGAACACCAGUGGCGAAGGCGGCUCACUGGCCCGAUACUGACGCUGAGGUGCGAAAGCGUGGGGAGCAAACAGG
rnacentral:rRNA from 1 species